rnacentral:rRNA from 1 species
UACGAGGGGGCAAAUGUUGUUCGGAAUCACUGGGCGUAAAGGGAGCGUAGGCGGGUUUUAAGUUAGGUGUUUAAUACCGGGGCCCAACCCCGGACCGGCACUUAAAACUGGGAAUCUUGAAUAGUGGAGAGGUCAGUGGAAUUGGGGUGUAGCGGUGGAAUGCGUAGAGAUCCCCAAGAACACCAGUUGCGAAGGCGGCUGACUGGACACAUAUUGACGCUGAGGCUCGAAAGCAUGGGGAGCAAACAGG